AGAUGAUAUAUAUAUACAUGUAGUAUUUAUUGAGAAAUCCUAGUCAAUUUGAUCUUCAAAAUAAAUUUGAUUCUAUUCUUAGAAUAGAGUCAUCCUAUCAGUAAAUGUUCUGUUGCUAUUUAUAAACAUACUCUAAAAUUAACACCUUAUAUUUUAACAAUUACAAUAUGGGGAACACAUAUUAACCAUUCAAAAAUACCCAAAGACUUAACUUUACUGAAACCUUUGUUAUUUUGUAUUAAACUCUUCAUUGCAUCAGCUGCGACCUAGUCACUAACACCAAAUAAUAAAUGUUUAAGUGAUGUUAACGUGUUGUGAACUGCUAAAAUGUAUCUUUCAUGCUGUAAUUGGUUUAGUUUCAACACUCUUGGAUCAAUUCACUUGCCAGACAAGUACAUAUCUUAUUUUCAACAUUUAAAUGGUAUUUAUAUCAAUUGUUGUGAUUAAUCAAUGCAACAGUAGAGUGUGAGAAUGUUCAUGAUUUUGCUGGGAAAGAAAGUUAACUGCCUCUGAGACUAAUCUUACACAUAAAGUGAGGUGUAUCAGAGUUUUCCCAGUUUUAUAUGGUUGAGUACUAUCUCCAUGUAUAGUAUGUUCCCCACUCCUAUGUGAGAAUGAAGCAUGUUUAACUAUCACCAUAAUCAUAUAGUACUCCCAUUGCCUACGGUUUUCAUAAUGUCUGUUUAGGGUGGCGAUGGCUGUGAAGAGUGGGUCUUUUAGCAUUAAAUGUCUUUGCCAGACACAAAAUGAAAUACUGAUGAUUUGACUAAUUAAGCCGAAGUCAGACAAUGUUAAUGACUUGGUUGAAUUCAAGCCAAUAAGGAAGUCUCUACAGAGUCACAUGAUCUGUAACAUUUCCCUCAAAUCACACCCUGCUAAAGGUCACAAUACAUGAUGUAGUUUUAGGUACAUGGGGAGGGAUGGUCAUGACAGGAACACUGUUGAUCUGUUGGAUUAAGUCUGACCUUAAACUAAACAACAAUACCAUCCUUAUCAUUUAAUGGUUGCAUCAAGCUCCAAUGUCAGCUUCAUUGUGGCUUCCAUGGCUGGAUGCCUUUCCUUAUGCCAACCACUUUACAACUUGUACUUGGUGCUUUUCUCAUGCCAUCAGUUCUAGGAGGUCACCAAAUAACUUGCAAUAGGGGGGAAAAGGGCUGGAAGCUGAAAAGAAAAGCUUCCUUGACUAAGUGUGAGUGGGUGAGUAUUUGGGAAGAGAUGUCUUUAUGCUAGGUUUGAGAGACUAAAGCAUGAUAGAGGGACAAGCACAAGUGACUUGCUAUAGAGGAGAUACAUAGCUACUCCAUACUAUAUAGUGGUAGACCAGAGUAGCUGGGAAGAAGAUAAGAUGGUAGUGAUUGGAAGCCAGGGCAAACUCUCAAGAAGGUAAGCAUAAGAAAAAAUACAAACAGUGGUUCAGUGGGGACGGAGAAGGGUUGUUUUGUAAGAGUAUGUUAGGAAAGUAACAGACAGUUGGAAAUGGGAAUAGAGGUGAAUGUAAUGAUUGAUAAACAAACAAUAAUUUGUUUAAUGUUCCCUUUCAGUAGUUUAACAUCCUCAUUAUGGUACCCACUCUGUUUCUCAUCUAAAAUUAAAUUUUGUAUCAUUUUAGAGAAUUGCAAUUAACCUUAUAAACUUUUAAAAUUUGCUUUAUUUUGUUACCUGCUAUGUUAUAUUUUAUUUAAUUUUAAUUGGUUUCAUUGUUAUUAUUUAGCCUUAGGAAAACAGUGAACUGGUAGAAUCACUAUCGCACCUGACAAAAUGCUAAACAGCAUUUCUUCUGUCUUUACACUCUGAGUUCAAAUUCUGCUGAUGUCAACUUUCACCCAUUUGGGGGUUAAUAAAAUAAAUACCAGUUGAACAUUGGAGUCAAUGUGACUUUCCCCCUCCCCCAAAACUGUUGGCCUUGUGUCAGAAUUGGAAAUCUGAUUAAAUAGAAUUAUGAUCAAAGGGCAAUCCAGCCAUGACUGUCACAUUUUUUAUUCAAACUUCAUGUAUUUAAUACAACAUUAUCUUAAGUAUUAUCUAGUUGAUACUGUUGUUGUUUAGCCUCAUUUUUGUCCUGAUUGAGCAGAUCUAUGAUCAAAAAGCAUUUUAGCUGUGGCACUCCAAACAUUCAGAAUUAUUUCAUCAAAAGUACUCUUUCUUUAUUUAAGAGAAUAGUGUUUGCUAUUUGAGAAAGUUGUUUAGUUGAAUGACCAUGUCAAGACCCUCUCAUUUACUCACUUAUUAAUCUUGUAGUAUAGCUGAUAUCCUCACUGUUUGAGAGAUAUAUUAAAAAUGAUCUUGUGUUAGAUAACAACCAUCUUUGGCUAUUUUGACCCUGUUGUGUCGACUGCUCUGAUUGGUUGGCUUACACAUUGGUGCAAAAUAAGUCAAAAGACAAACUGCACCAAAUGCCAACCAAUCAGAGCAGUGAACACAACAGGGUCAAAAUAGCCAAAGAUGGUUGUUAUCUAACACGUGAUAAUUUCUAAUAUAUCUCUCAAACAGUGGGAUAUAGGUUACGCUACAAUCUCUUACCUGUCCAAAGCAUUUUCAUUAGUGUGUCCUGAAUGUCCAUCCUUGUUUUCAGACUUUUAUUUAGCCCCCUUGUUUCAUAUAUGCAGAGUAAUAUAAAGCUUCUCUUUUAUAAGUUUCAAGUUAGUCUGGCACUUGAAAAGACACAUGGAUGCAAGGGUAAUAUGCCGUGUGUGUCACAUGUGAUGCACAAGACAGGCAAAAGGUUAAUUAGUUUUAGCAAUUAAUCUGUCCAUAACCUUCCAGAAGGAUCUGACUCUCCUAAAACUACCCUUUAAUCCAAACAAAUAUUCUGUUGUUUGCAUCUUUUUGAGUUUUUUUGUUGCUUUUGUUUUAAUGUUUUCUGUAUGAGACAACAUGGUAAAGAAGCUUUCUUUUAUCAAGAAACACUUUCAUUCAAAUCCUACAAUUUAUUUAAUCUUUAUUGCAUCUAAAAGUUUUUAUUAUUGUUGUGUUAUUCAUCUGUUUUGUAUAUUCUGGCAAAUAUUAUAUAUCACUGUAUUUUAAAAUUUCAUAUAAGUCACACACACACACACACAUAGUUCUUAACAGUUUAACUCGAAGUUGAUAAAGCUAUAAAUAAUAGAAUGUAAAUAUUGGGUUAAAAAGCCCUUUGGAUAGAAAAUGUUGAAUUUUCUAAAUUCUUAUGACAUAACCAAUGUGUGUGUGUGUGUGUGUGCAUACACACACACAACAACAACAACAAUUGGUAACUUUCUGAUUGACGACAUGUCAUAACUAGGAAUAUAGUGCUCAACAAUAUAAAUGUAAAACUGCUCAAUUUCUCUUUUAGUGAGGAUUUUUUUCUGACAUAUGGACCACUAACAGAUAUGUAAGAAGGACAUCUAACUGUAAAAACCCUGCCAAAACAGACACAAAAGUCUGAUGCAGGGUCCUAUCAAACCGUCCAGCCCAUGCCAGCAUGGAAGGUGGACAUUACAUGAUUAUUAUUAUACACGCACACACACAUUCACACUCGCAUACACGUGUUUAUGUGUACACAUGCGCAUGAUUUAAUGUGCACAGAUGUAUUUCCAUAGACUACAUAAUUUUAUCAGUAAAGCUCUUACCAAGAAACGUUUCUAACUGAAGUUUUUUUUUCAACCCAGACUAACAAGUGAAAACUUUUAUAUGAAGAAAGCAAAUAUAGACUCUAUAUUUUGCCCAAAUCUCAUAUUCUCAUGUGAUGCCUCAUUGCUAUAGGGUUGGUAAUUCUAAUUAUACCUCUUAACUUUUACCCUAUGUUCUUUCAAAAAAAAAUGUAUUCCUUCAUCAAAGUGUUUACAACGAUAUUUAAGAUUCCUGUGUGUGUGUAUGUAUACAUACACACAUAAAUGUGUACAUACAUAUACACACAUAAUCAUUUGUAUGUAUUUUCAUUUGUAUCAACAACUAUGUGCAUACAUAAUUAUAAAUACACAUAUGUGUCUCUCUCUCUCUCUAUAUAUAUGCAUACACACACAUAUAUACAUGUGUAUACACACACUCAAAUAUAUCCUCAUUUGUAUCUACAACCAUGUAACUAUGUGCACAUAUACUAAUGUAUACACCACUAAGAAUGAACUCAAAAUUAUAUUGAUUUACAAUUGGUUGUCAAUAAUUUAAUUAGUCACAUUAAAAAUUGAGACAAGAGUCCCUUCACCAUUCCUCCUUCAAAAAGUAAGGAAGCAAUGUAAUAAAAAAUCACAGAGAAGUACAGAUUAAAAAAGAAGCACUACAAUUUUAUUCCAAAUUAAACAAUUCUGAUGCCUAAUUUUCCCUAUUAAAUAUGAUUAACUUUGAAUGAUAUGUUUCUGUUUAUCCUCUAAAGUAUUAUUCUAAACAGCAAAUGAUGCCUUCACACAUGUCUAUUCACAGGAUCAUUGAUUUUGUUUUUCUAAUCAAUAUAUAUAUUUUUUUUAGUUUAAACAUACAAGCUGACUAAAACACCUUUAGCUCAUCGAUUUGACCCAGUCUAUGUAUUUUGUGACAUGGAUUUACAAUUAAUA
rnacentral:lncRNA from 1 species